rnacentral:pre_miRNA from 1 species
AAUUUAGCUGAAAAAGUUAUGAACAUAAAAGUUGUAGAACUCAUCAAGACAUAAUAACUUUUAUUUUGCUUAUUUCUUCAUUCGACAAAGUGAUGGUAACAUUUUUCACCAAAAUUUACAUCUCUCUCUUAUAGUUUAUAAAACCAAAUGAGAGAUAUGUAAAUUUUAUGAACAAUUUUACUAUAACUUUGUCGGAUGAAGAAAUGACCAAAAUAAAAGUUAUAGAUCUUGACGAGUUAUACAACUUUGUUAUUGAUGACUUUUUCAGUUGAAAUC